GAAGGUAUAGCUCAGUGGUAGAGCACAUGCUUAGCAUGCACAAGGUCCUGGGUUCAAUCCCCAGUAUCUCCA
rnacentral:tRNA from 1 species